CAACCAAAACAGUUUAUAUAUCUGAAUCUCCUCACCUCAUAAACUUCUCUCUCUCUCCACUCCUCUCCUCCGCCGCUCCGCCGCUCACUGACGGGUCACUCAGCUCAGCGCGGCUCCCGGUGGAUUGUGGGAAAUAUUAGCGGGUGAAGUGUGCUGGGCUUGUAUACUUAAAAAUGUCUCCCGGUGCAGUACGUCAUCCGGGAACUUUUCGCGUACUCAAACUCGCCUACUGCGCAUUCGGACACACUACCCGAUCUCGCAUACUGCUUUUGCAUACUGUUUAGUAUGGAAGUACGCGAUUUCGGACGCAGCCCAGGGGUUUCGUGCAUGACGUAUUUUUGGGGGCGGAGUUGUGGGAAGGCUGUUGUCGUAAGGGGAGGGACUUGAAUAGGGUCAAGGAGCAUGCGCAGAGAGGAACCCGCACAAUUCAAAAGGCCGGUGUGAAUCUGCUGCCGAAAAAAGAAACCGCUGGAGCAAGAAAGAUUGCCUGUGACUGAUGCAACAAGUGGUUCCACCAUUCAUGUGUCGGAAACUCACCUGAAGAGGAGGAGUUCCUUUGCCCUUUGUGCAAGAUAUAAGACAGCCCCUACCAACUAACUCAUCCGCUGACCCUGCUUUUAAAUGUCAUUGCUACCACUGUUUUCCAACAACUCUAAUCAGA